CGUUCACGAGCAACCGCCCGAAAUGUGGGUCUUCCGCCUCGUUACGCACGUGUAAGUAUACGGCGUACGGAGCUCCGUUCGUUUCUGACGGUGGCUCGUGUCGAG
rnacentral:pre_miRNA from 1 species